rnacentral:lncRNA from 1 species
UAUUUGUUUUGUUUUGUUUGUUUUACUUGUGUUUUUUUGUUGUUGAGAGGACAGGGUUCAUAUUUCCAAGUCCUUUUGCACUGAAAGCAGAGAGUCCAUUAGUCACAGCACCAUUAAGAUCAGAAACAAAGAGCAAUCUAAAACAUUUCCCUGGCUGCUCACUUUCAUUUGGUUGGCUGUUUUGUGAAGUUUAGAUUCCUGAGAACAGCAAUGCAUUCAUUCAAGGAGGAGAGGUGAAAUCGCAUCACGCUUUCUACGGUUCAUGUUUGCCUGCCUACUACAGUCUGCUCAACUACGGAACCUGCAACUGGAUUCAAUCUUCUGCCUCAUGCUUCAUGGCCGCUCCGUUAUCAGGUGUGACAGAACUCAGCUGGUUUCUUCCCCUGGUCAACCCCAAAGCAACUGCGAUCAUCGGCAGAAACAGUGCACUGGAGUGCAAAUAAUAUAUUUCUUUUCAGUCAUCUCACAAUGGGGUUUGCAUGACGUUUAA